UACGAAGGGGGAGCUAGCGUUGCUCGGAAUCACUGGGCGUAAAGCGCACGUAGGCGGAUUGCUAAGUCAGGGGUGAAAUCCUGGAGCUCAACUCCAGAACUGCCUUUGAUACUGGCGAUCUUGAGUCCGGGAGAGGUGAGUGGAACUGCGAGUGUAGAGGUGAAAUUCGUAGAUAUUCGCAAGAACACCAGUGGCGAAGGCGGCUCACUGGCCCGGUACUGACGCUGAGGUGCGAAAGCGUGGGGAGCAAACAGG
rnacentral:rRNA from 1 species